rnacentral:rRNA from 1 species
CCUACGGGGGGCUGCAGUGGGGAAUAUUGGACAAUGGGCGAAAGCCUGAUCCAGCCAUGCCGCGUGUGUGAAGAAGGCCUUCGGGUUGUAAAGCACUUUCAGUGGGGAAGAAAGCCUUGGGGCUAAUACCCUCGAGGAAGGACAUCACCCACAGAAGAAGCACCGGCUAACUCCGGGCCAGCAGCCGCGGUAAUACGGAGGGUGCGAGCGUUAAUCGGAAUUACUGGGCGUAAAGCGCGCGUAGGCGGUCUGAUAAGCCGGUUGUGAAAGCCCCGGGCUCAACCUGGGAACGGCAUCCGGAACUGUCAGGCUAGAGUGCAGGAGAGGAAGGUAGAAUUCCCGGUGUAGCGGUGAAAUGCGUAGAGAUCGGGAGGAAUACCAGUGGCGAAGGCGGCCUUCUGGACUGACACUGACGCUGAGGUGCGAAAGCGUGGGUAGCAAACAGGAUUAGAUACCCUAGUAGUC